UCCCUGGUGGCUCAGACGGUAAAGCAUCUGCCUAUAAGGCAGGAGACCCAGGUUUGAUCCCUGGGUUGGAAA
rnacentral:tRNA from 1 species